rnacentral:lncRNA from 1 species
GGUGGGGUUCGUGUUGUUUAUUCUUUAGUUUUCUAUGUUGUGUCAUGAUUACUAUUGUUUUUCUGUUUGUCUAUUUCAUUUUUAGCCAUGGCGUUGUCAGUUUGUUUUAGAUUUAUGAGUUUGACUAUCCCUUUGGUAUCUUUCGUCCCUCUUUUAUAGUCAACCGUACGACACAAACUUUUUUUAAAUUAAAUUUGAUAAUAAAGAUUAGACUAGUUCAUUUAUCAUAUUUAUAUAUUAUUAUAUAAAAGGCGUGUUUUCUAUGACAUCUGUCGUGUUUUUUUUUACAGAAUGUUCCUUUUCUCCGCUUUAAAUGAAAUUUGAAUUAAUUUAGCUCCGUUCUAGACCCCAGCGCGUCAUUGGGAUUUCCCAUUCAUUAUUAUCGAUCAAUACACACAUACCGGUGGUUAACCAUACGUGUGUUUUCUUUCUAAAGUGCACAUUUAACAGUGUAUUUUAUAGUUAUUAGUUGAACAUAUAGGACGAUUUUAAAUAUAGGUUACUCAUCUAGAGCUCUGCAACUGUGCUUCAACCGUCUACAACCAAAGUGGGCAUCCAGUUUGGACUUUUACUGAAAAUACAGUAUUUAAAUAAAAAUCUGAAUUAUUUAAUACCUAUUUAUAUAAGAAAAUAAUUGGAUUACAUUUAAUUUAUAACCAAUUGUUAGAGAACGACCAUUCGCAAACUUAAAAAAAAGGGGGAGGGGGUUAUGUUUUGUUUUUCCUUAAAAAUUUCUGAUUUCCAAAUUGACGACAAACAAUAUUCUUUUUAAGAAGAGGACACAAUUUGUCAAAAAAUAUUCUGAAUGCAGAUUUUCCCCAUACCUUGUACAUGUAGUGUUACAUUUGAAAUAAUUUGAUCGAUAGCUUUGAAAAUAAAUCGAAUUAUUCAACUUUGCGCAAUUUUUUUUUCUGACUUUGACAACAAAACAUAACUCCCUUGAAGUUAAAUUUUUGCUCCCUUAGUUAAUGUAUGAAGGGUUUAUCGUAAUC